GGAGGUAAGUGAUGAAUAACAAUAAGGAAGGCGACAGAAGAGAGUGAGCACACAUGGCUCCUUUUUCUAGCAUGCUCAUGCUCGAAAGCUCUGCGUGCUUACUCUCUUCUUGUCUCCUCCUGCUUUCUCUCUUUCUCU
rnacentral:pre_miRNA from 1 species